AGGAAACUUGGAAACCGAAAACUCGGCGGCCGAGGCUCCGUGCCCCGCGCGCAGCGCUGCUCCUGCCCCGGCCAAGGACGCACGGGCCAGCCGGCGGAACCAGAGGUUUUCAGUGAUGUUGAGAGUCAACAGGAAAUUAAUCAGCAAGUAGAAAAUUGAAAGAAGAUCUGCAUCUUACUGCAGGAGUCAUUAAAAUAAAAGCAGAUUUGGCAAAAUGGCAAGGCCUCUGGGCCUGUAAUGAGAGGGGCUGCUGUGAAGGUCUUUGACGCCCUGGAGACAUUUUCCCCAUUGUCUUGGUGACAGCUUCUACCUUAUGAUCUGCGUUCCAGUCAGCGGGAAGGAGAUGGGGUGGGAAUGUGAUAAACCACUUCCCUUGAAGGACAUUUUCCAGAAGGUGUUCUGAUAUGAGAAGAACUUCUUCAGAAGGUAUCUUAAUGCAUAUGGGGAAACUGAGGCCCAGUUGUCAUAGCCUUCUCCAGCAUGUGUUCCUUCUGUAUUUCAGACAUGGCAGAGGAGACACAGCAAUAACUAAGGGGCAACUAUUGCAUCCAGAAAAAAAAAAAAUGAAGAUAAUGACUUCUCUGCAACUAAGAUGAAGAUCCACUGAACUUUGGGGUUUGAAAUGCAACGUUAGAACUUCAGACUCCCGGCACCUAGGUCUCCAGCUGCUGGGUGGUGCCAGCAUCAGAGAUACACUCUGCAAAACAUAUACUGUCUUAGGAAAAAGUGACCCUGUUGUCCUUUCAGGCCCAUAUUCCACAAGAAGACAAAUGGAGAUGUAAAAGGAAAACUGCAGCUCCGACUGAAGAGAGAGCAAGUUGUCUGUUCUGAUACAGCCAGGAAAUAAGAUGUUCUGGUUAAUAUGUGCUAAAGAUGUGGUGCUGACUUUCCGACUCAGAAUAUGAUCACAUGUUUUUCUCAUUAAAACUAUAUUGAAUAUUA
rnacentral:lncRNA from 1 species